UACGUAGGGGGCAAGCGUUGUCCGGAUUCAUUGGGCGUAAAGAGCGUGUAGGCGGCCAGGUAGGUCGGUUGUGAAAACUGGAGGCUCAACCUUCAGAGGUCGACCGAAACCAUCUGGCUAGAGUCCGGGAGAGGAGAGUGGAAUUCCUGGUGUAGCGGUGAAAUGCGCAGAUAUCAGGAAGAACACCAAUGGCGAAAGCAGCUCUCUGGGACGGUACUGACGCUGAGACGCGAAAGCGUGGGGAGCGAACGGG
rnacentral:rRNA from 1 species